AGAGAGAUGGCUCAGUAGGUAGAGUACAAACCUUCUAUGUUUGAAGCUCUGGGGUUGAGUCCUUCUA
rnacentral:tRNA from 1 species